CCAUACUGGCCUCCCUCGAGGUUAUACCCUCGCUUAGGUUAGGUUGCUUCUAACAGACAUCCUCCGCGGGCGUUGAGGCAGCCAGCUUCACUGUCACCCAGACAAUUUUUCUCUCGCUCUGCCAACCCUGUUCCCCUUUCAAGAAUGUUUAAACUCUUCAUUCAAGCGAUGAGAGGGAAACACUUGAGCUGCACACUCAAGGAGAUGUGGGUUUCCAUUCUGGCCUUGCGAUAUAUUAUUGGUGGGACCGUGGCAAAGAUAAAGAACCUGUAAAGAACCACCCAUCUAGGGAUACAUUUCCAGCCCCCCUUUUAUCAAAGCGGUGACAUGUGACCGAAUUCUGCCCAGUGACAUGUGGGAAGAAGUGGCUCUUUCAGGACUGUUCCCCCAAAACUGUCUUUGGGAUGCUCCAAACUUCUUUAUUCCCCCAAUCCUCUGAUGAACAUGCACCUGACAUUGGAUGCUACAUGUUAAAAACGGAGUUGUCAUCUUCUACCUGGGUCGCUGAAUGACUGUGUGGAUCAGGAAGCUCCCCACUCUUCCCUGCCAUGACUGAACUAGCCACUGUCAUCUGGAGGGUGUCUGUAAUAGCAUCUAGCAUUGCCUAACAUCAUACUAAUGGAACACUACAUAUUUUCAUCUGAAGUGAUAUCAGUGGAAUUUCCACUGA
rnacentral:lncRNA from 10 species